AGUAACGCGUGGGUAACCUGCCUCAUACAGGGGGAUAACAGUUAGAAAUGACUGCUAAUACCGCAUAAGCGCACAGUGCUGCAUGGCACAGUGUGAAAAACUCCGGUGGUAUGAGAUGGACCCGCGUCUGAUUAGCUAGUUGGUGGGGUAACGGCCUACCAAGGCGACGAUCAGUAGCCGGCCUGAGAGGGUGAACGGCCACAUUGGGACUGAGACACGGUCCAAACUCCUACGGGAGGCAGCAUG
rnacentral:rRNA from 1 species